rnacentral:rRNA from 1 species
UGUGGAUAGGGGAGAAAUUCCAAUCGAACCCGGAGAUAGCUGGUUCUCCUCGAAAUAGCUUUAGGGCUAGCCUCGAUACAGAUUUGCGGAGGUAGAGCACUGAAUUUCCUAGGGGGCGUCAAAGCCUACCGAAGAAUAUCAAACUCCGAAUGCCGCGUAAUCGAUUAUCGGGAGUCAGACUGCACGAGAUAAGUUGGGCGGUCAAAAGGGAAAGAGCCCAGACCUUCAGUUAAGGUCCCAAAGUGCGCGUUAAGUGGAAAAGGAUGUGGGAUUUCGAAGACAACCAGGAUGUUGGCUCAGAAGCAGCCAUCCAUUCAAAGAGUGCGUAAUAGCUCACUGGUCGAGAGGUCCUGCGCCGAAAAUGUCCGGGGCUGAAACGCGCCACCGAAACUAAGGAACCGAAAGGUUGGUAGAGGAGCAUUGCAUGCGGGAAGAAGCAGUACCGUAAGGAGCUGUGGACUGCAUGGAAGAGAGAAUGCCGGAAUGAGUAGCGAGAAUAAGGUGAGAAUCCUUAUGGCCGAAUAUCCAAGGUUUCCAGAGUAAAGCUGAUCUGCUCUGGGUAAGUCGGGGCCUAAGGCGAGGACGAGAGUCGUAGCCGAUGGACAACAGGUGGAGAUUCCUGUACUGCGGUAUGACAGAACUGUGGGGACACGUAAGGAAAGCGGAAGCCGGGAAUGGAAAGCCCGGUGCAAGCGGGGUACCAGCCACUUUGGCAAAUCCGGGUGGCAAUGGGAAGCCGUGAUGCGGAGUGAAAUAAAGUAGCGAAGUCCGUGAGCCAUGCGUCAAGAAAAGCCGCUAUUGUUUAUACCGUACCCGUACCGUAAACCGACACAGGUGGAUGAGGAGAGAAUCCUAAGGCCGGCGGAAGAAGCAUUGUCAAGGAACUCGGCAAAAUGGCCCCGUAACUUAGGGAUAAGGGGUGCCUGGGAAACCAGGCCGCAGAGAAUAGGCUCAAGCAACUGUUUAGCAAAAACACAGGUCUAUGCGAAACCGAAAGGUGAGGUAUAUGGGCUGACGCCUGCCCGGUGCUGGAAGGUUAAGAGGAGAGGUUAGCGCAAGCGAAGCUUUGAAUUUAAGCCCCAGUAAACGGCGGCCGUAACUAUAACGGUCCUAAGGUAGCGAAAUUCCUUGUCGGGUAAGUUCCGACCC